rnacentral:lncRNA from 1 species
ACCUCCUGCCUCAGCCUUCCAAGUUGCAAGGAUUACAGGCAGAUGCCACCACAGCAGGCUCUAGUUACAGUGUCUAAUGUGCAUUUUAAUCAAAGAUAGCAAAUAAGUCUAUUGCUCAGUGUGUUGCCAAAAAGUAAAUAAUGAAUGUAAGCUGCUUCCAGGACAGCAGAAGACAUUACUGAUAUUCCAAAAGACCGUCUUUAAUAGCACACCAUCUUCCUCGCCUCAUUCUGAAGUUCUCAUUGGGGCCCCUUUCCCUUCCUUUCACUCCCGGUUGAAACUCUACAAUAUGAAAGCACAUUCCCGGAGGGAGUAGACAAAAGUGGGCAAACAGUUGUAAGAAAUGAAUGUCUUUGACCACGUUUGUAUUUUAUGGAUUUGGCCUUGUGGUUAGCAUGAACUAAACUCUUACAUAUGCGUGGAAUUACAGCUCAGAGUCAUGACUUGCUCAAGAUUAGACAGAGUAAAAGUUCUAGACUGGUCAAAGCCUUCAUUCUUUACUACCACACACCACCUUUCAAAUGUGAGGUUAGGAGGGCUACAGAGGGAGGAUGUGAUUUUGCCUCUUUUGUUAACGUAUUCCCUGGUUGUGUGUAAAGCUGCAUAAACAAAUGCUACAUCACUGAACACCUGUGUUUGUUUUCCUCCCUCCCCUGUCUGUUUUCAGUGCUUCAGGCACAGUGUACACUGCAAUGGAUGUAGCCACAGGGCAGGAGGUGGCCAUUAAACAGAUGAACCUUCAGCAGCAGCCGAAGAAA